UAUUGAUAGCAUGCUUCAGAACAAAGCUUCAGAGCUCAGGCUAUACAUCCUAUAACACUCUUGGAAGACCAGUAACCAGACUGGAACCAGAAAUCUUAUUGCCAUGUUAAUAUGUCAUUUUCCUUCUGUGAAAUAUUCCAAUAAUGUAAAGAAUGCAAGAUUCAAAGUCACAUAGACCCAUGUACACGUUCAAUCUACACCAAAGUUUGUGGAGCUGUGUGACCUUCAAUAAGUCUCUUAACCUCUCUGAGCCAUAAUUUCCUCAGUCUGAAAAAUGGGAUGCUAACAUAAGGCCAACAUUACAGUGAGAACUAAAUAAAACUUUUACAUAGUGUCUAGGACAGCUCCUAGCUCAUAUUUAGUGUUUAAAAUAAGCCUCUGAUCUUUCUCUUUAUUUACAAUACCUUUUCAUUGGGAGAUGAGGACAGCAUUUGGACACAACUGUACAGGCACGCUAAGUCUCAUCCUUCCAAAGACGUCAGUCACAUUCAGCCCCUUUAGCAGUUUCAUCAACAGCAUGUAUAGCACAUGUGAUAGCAAACAGCAAGUUGGAUUCCUUAAUAAAGCAGUAAAGAAGGUCAGCCAGGAUGUAGGCUUUAAAGCCAAGGCCAGCUCUUCUGGGCAGGACAGUUGUGGCUGAUGUAUGACAGCCAAAUGUAAUGAGAGUCCUCAUUUGACAUAUUGAAGCGAGCACCUCAAGGAUGGGCAGGGAAAAGAACCAUCAGCAGUACUCACCACCAGAGCAGCAGUGAGUGCCCAGGUCAAACUGGACAAGGGCUGGCAGACAGGUGGAAAUAAAGACUCCGCUUCCAGAAAGAUGACUGACUUACUGAUUGAUACAUGUGGAAUGGAACACCAGGCCUGGCUCUUGACCCCCCUGGGAAGGAGUCAGCUAGCAGAAAG
rnacentral:lncRNA from 1 species